rnacentral:rRNA from 1 species
GGAUGCGAUCAUACCAGCACUUAAUGCACCGGAUCCCAUCAGAACUCCGAAGUUAAGCGUGCUUGGGCGAGAGUAGUACUAGGAUGGGUGACCCCCUGGGGGAAGUCCUCGUGUUGCAUCCC